GAUGAAGAACGUAGCGAAAUGCGAUAAGUAAUGUGAAUUGCAGAAUUCAGUGAAUCAUCGAAUCUUUGAACGCACAUUGCGCCCGCCAGUAUUCUGGCGGGCAUGCCUGUCUGAGCGUCAUUUCAACCCUCAUGCCCCUAGGGCGUGGUGUUGGGGAUCGGCCAAAGCCCGCGAGGGACGGCCGGCCCCUAAAUCUAGUGGCGGACCCGUCGUGGCCUCCUCUGCGAAGUAGUGAUAUUCCGCAUCGGAGAGCGAUGAGCCCCUGCCGCUAAACCCCCAACUUUCCAAGGUUGACCUCAGAUCAGGUAGGAAUACCCGCUGAACUUAAGCAUAUCAAUAAGCGGAGGA
rnacentral:misc_RNA from 1 species